UACGUAGGUGGCAAGCGUUGUCCGGAUUUACUGGGCGUAAAGAGCGCGCAGGCGGCUGGUCAAGUCCGAUGUGAAAGCUCCCGGCUUAACUGGGAAACGGCAUCGGAAACUGAUCGGCUUGAAGGUGGGAGAGGGUAGUGGAAUUCCCGGUGUAGUGGUGAAAUGCGUAGAUAUCGGGAGGAACACCAGUGGCGAAGGCGACUACCUGGCCUGUUCUUGACGCUGAGGCGCGAAAGCUAGGGGAGCAAAUGGG
rnacentral:rRNA from 1 species